rnacentral:lncRNA from 1 species
CGGCCCGGGGGCGCCAGGCGGGCAGCGGGCGGGGCGGGCUCCUCGCACCGGGCUCCUGCAGCAAGGGUGCAACUUGACAGCGGAGUUCAUCCUCCUGAGCACCAGCAGAUGGGGCGCAGCGGCGGUGGCUUUGUCUGCCUCGGAGCUGCAGGUUGUCGCUGAGGAAGGGAACUUCCUCCUUAAAGCCAAGCUAAAUAAGGAGUUUCUGGGCGGAGUCAUCUUCUGAGCAGCCGAGAUAAAAGCUUCUACAGGAUUUACGG